rfam:Euryarchaeota archaeon RBG_16_68_12 RBG_16_scaffold_13855, whole genome shotgun sequence.
GCGCCCGUCGCCUAGCGGUCAAUGGCGGUCGUCCUAGAAACGACCGGUGAGUCCUUUCGUUGGUUCGAGUCCAACCGGGCGCA